rnacentral:RNase_P_RNA from 1 species
CAGAGUCGAGGACGCGGCCGCGGCUUGCGCUUCGGCGUGAGUCGAGGAAAGUCCGAGCUCCACAGGGCAGCGCGAUGGGUAACGCCCACCGGCCGUAAGGCCAGGGACAGCGCAACAGAAAACACACCGCCAACGGGCUCGCCUCAGGGCGCGCUGCGGGCAAGGGUGAAAAGGUGCGGCAAGAGCGCACCAGCGGCGUGGUGACACGCCGGCUUGGCAAGCCCCGCGUGGAGCAAUGCCAAACAGGGAGCAGAGGUGGCCCGCCUCGUUACGACUCCCGGGUAGGCAGCACGAGGCCGGUGGCAACACCGGCCCCAGAGGGAUGGUCGCGGCCCCCGGCCGCCGCAAGGUGGCAGGGGGCAACAGAACUCGGCUUACGAUCGGCUCUGCUCC